rnacentral:rRNA from 1 species
GACGUAGGGCGCGAGCGUUGUCCGGAUUUAUUGGGCGUAAAGCGCGCGAGGCGGCCCUGUAAGUCCGUUGUGAAAGUCAAAGGCUCAACCUUUGAAAGCCGAUGGAUACUGCAGGGCUCGAGUUCGGAAGAGGCGAGUGGAAUUCCUGGUGUAGCGGUGGAAUGCGCAGAUAUCAGGAGGAACACCGAUGGCGAAGGCAGCUCGCUGGGACGGUACUGACGCUGAGGCGCGAAAGCGUGGGGAGCGAACAGG